rnacentral:misc_RNA from 2 species
AACGCAUCUUGCGCUCCUUGGCAUUCCAAGGAGCAUGCCUGUUUGAGUGUCGUUAAACUAUCAAAACACUUUUCUUGGGUGUUUUGGACUUGGGAGUAUCUUGCUGGUCUGUUUGGGCCAGCUCUCCUCAAAAGCAUUAGCUUUGGAGACCAUCAGUGUGAUAAUUUGUUUACACUGACUUGAGUGUCUCAGCUUCUCCUUUUCAAUAAUACCCCUUUGACCUCAAAUCAGGUAGGACUACCCGCUGAACUUAA